CUGGGUUUUGUGACUGCAGUGUCAGUCUUGGAUUAGACUCUCUGAAGAUGCUGUCCCUGGUUAAUUCUUGAAUUCGGUUUGCACAAUGUAUUGUAAUGUGGGAGCAUGAAGAAGGAAUUGGACCAUUGCAGUUGCUGCCACAUUGACACAGAUUUGGGGCAGUUACCCCUAUUUUGAUUAUACUAGAUUAAUGCUGCAUGCAUGUUUUAAUCCUGUAUGUUUCAGUAUCUACAGGAUCCUGUUCAGUUCUUCACUGCCCUUGGAUAGCUACUCAAGAAUCUCUUCCUUCCCACUUGCCUUGCCAGGCCAGCAGCUGCCUUCCUUCUACCGGAGAAACUCUGGGAUCCCAAGCUCGCCUUCCCUGCCCCGCUGGGAGCCGGGCCAUGGCCGCCCUGCCCCUGCCAUUGCUUCGAGCCUUCGCUACGUUGUAGCCCCACUCACCCUGCCUGCCCAGACCUCUGGGGGUUCCCACCACAGCUCCGCAGUUUGGAUACAUCUCGUCUGCCACCCGGGAUUUGUGCUUGUCCCUGACGUUCCAGCCUGCCAUUCCAGCCUGCUGUUCCCGAGGGUCCGGCCGGACACCGGGAUCAGCUGCCCAGGGGUUUGUGAAGCCUUUGUUCCAUCCCUUCCCGGGAUCCCAGGGCACCGGUGCCGCGUGCUCCCCGAGCUCGCUCCGGAGCGCCCCCUGCAGCCGCGGGGGAACCAUCGCACCUGCCCUGCUCACCGGGAGCCGCCAGCGCCCCUGCCGGCUGCGAGCGGAACUGCACCCGAGGGGAAAGGGCCCGACAGCCGAGAAGGCUGGGACUGGGUUUGUGAUUGUUUGCUGUUACUGCCAUAGUUAUUGCUGUUUGUUUGACUGGUUAUACACAUAUAGAUAUUUGUAUAACAGUAAAGAACUGUUAUUCCUAUUUCCCAUAUCUUUGCCUAAAAGCCCCUUGAUUUCAAAAUUAUAAUAACUUGGAGGGAAGGGGGGUUGCAAUUUUUCAUUUCAAGGGAGACUCCUGCCUUCCUUGGCACACUUCUGUCUUUCAAACCCAGACUACCACACCCUGAAUGGGGCCCUGACUGAGGCCUUACAUCACUCGCUGAUGAAGAUAAAAUAAAGUAACAACUCAGGGCUGGGGACAUUCACUGAGCACAGGCUUAACACCUCCAAGGUGGAGACCACAGCCCCAGGGCUAUCAGCUGCCAGGCUCACACAGACCUCUCACCUAGGGGAGGAGGGAGGAGAGGCUCUGGGUAUCUGGGAAAAGCCUCUGGUCAGAGACGCAAUGACUGCCCAUCCUCCACUGUGCAGAGGAGCCCAGCUGAGGGGUCCUCACUGGGGGGGGGAAGCUUAUCCACAGCAGAAGGGGUGACAUGGCCCAUCACAGGGGCUCCCCUCAAAGGAGUCCCCAGACCCUGCACCAGAACACCAGAGAUGAUGCAACAGACCCUCAGUGUUGCAAGGGACACAGUGUCAAGCCAGCCCCUGCAAGGACGUGGGCGUUCCCACCUGGCCCAAAGUGUGCAUUAACCCACGGAAUUCUGCACUCUUUGGCGUGUGGCAGCGUGGCAUGGCAUGUGGCAGCGUGGCCACAGCGGUGACGGGGGACCCUCACCACCAGCAGACCAGAUGGAGGGGAACAACGAGACGUCAUUGGGACCCUCGGAUGGGUGAUGUGCUUCCAUCCAACCACUGCCACCUCUCCCUGUUCCCCCACCCCCCACGCACACUUCUUUUUUCCAUUUCUUUCUCUCUUUCUUUUCUCUUCCCUUCUCUUUGCUGCUUUUACUAUUAAAUAAAAUACAUCCAUUUUUUGGCAUCAACAUCUAACCUCGUUUGGUUUUGAUCUCAUUUCUGGGAAUAUUUUGAACCUUCUAAGUUCAUUCUGGUUUAUGCACAGAGACUCAGCUUGCUUUUCUUUUCUGGGUUUAAACCGGAUCAUAACAGCACUAGGUGUUUCAAAGUUCUUAUUUUUUUUCUUUGCAGAUAUUCAAGUUCUGUGUGUCUGUUUAUGCAUAUCUGUGCAGAACCAUUUUCUUUUCCUCAUUACAUAAUUUUUUGGGGAGAGGAAAGACAAGGAGAAAAGAAAAUAUCCUACUAUAAACAUCAUCAAUUUGAGAGAAGCUGUAAAAUUUUUUAAAAAAAUGUAAACUAAGCACCAGAAUCUUUCCAAAAUUACUUAAAUA
rnacentral:lncRNA from 13 species